rnacentral:rRNA from 1 species
GACGAACGCUGGCGGCGUGCCUAAUACAUGCAAGUCGAGCGAAGUUUUUCUGGUGCUUGCACUAGAAAAACUUAGCGGCGAACGGGUGAGUAACACGUAAAGAACCUGCCUUAUAGACUGGGACAACUAUUGGAAACGAUAGCUAAUACCGGAUAACAGCAUUAACUGCAUGGUUGAUGUUUGAAAGUUGGUUUUGCUAACACUAUGAGAUGGCUUUGCGGUGCAUUAGCUAGUUGGUGGGGUAAAGGCCUACCAAGGCGACGAUGCAUAGCCGACCUGAGAGGGUGAUCGGCCACACUGGGACUGAGACACGGCCCAGACUCCUACGGGAGGCAGCAGUAGGGAAUCUUCCGCAAUGGGCGAAAGCCUGACGGAGCAACGCCGCGUGAGUGAAGAAGGAUUUCGGUUCGUAAAGCUCUGUUGUUAGGGAAGAAUGAUUGUGUAGUAACUAUACACAGUAGAGACGGUACCUAACCAGAAAGCCACGGCUAACUACGUGCCAGCAGCCGCGGUAAUACGUAGGUGGCAAGCGUUGUCCGGAAUUAUUGGGCGUAAAGCGCGCGCAGGUGGUUUAAUAAGUCUGAUGUGAAAGCCCACGGCUCAACCGUGGAGGGUCAUUGGAAACUGUUAAACUUGAGUGCAGGAGAGAAAAGUGGAAUUCCUAGUGUAGCGGUGAAAUGCGUAGAGAUUAGGAGGAACACCAGUGGCGAAGGCGGCUUUUUGGCCUGUAACUGACACUGAGGCGCGAAAGCGUGGGGAGUAAACAGG